GUCGAGGGAGGUGUUGCCGCAGAGGAGGAGCUGGUCGCUGGGCGGUAUGACACAGAGGUGGUGGAUGGAGUGCUGGAUGGCCUCGACAAGCGUGUCGCCGCCGCACUGGAACUCCAAGGUGUGGCCGUUCUCCGCCACGUGCACCAUCAACUUCUGCCCCAGCGGCACCGCCGCCGCCUCCUCCGCACCACCGCCUGUCACCGCCGACCCGGAACUCAUCUUCCUCGCGAUUCGACUACAGCCCACAAUUCCACUCCAAAACCGAAUCUUCUUCUUCUUUUUCUUCACACAGUACAGAUUAAUCUACAGUUCUACCGUACCACCAAACACGAAACACCGAACUCUUUAACCUCUCCGACGGGAUAGCCUCCGCCCGUCGAAAAAGAGCACGAGCCAACGUCCGCCGAGGCCUUAUCUCCCC
rnacentral:misc_RNA from 1 species